UUGAACGCUGGCGGCAGGCCUAACACAUGCAAGUCGAACGGUAACAGGAAGCAGCUUGCUGCUUCGCUGACGAGUGGCGGACGGGUGAGUAAUGUCUGGGAAACUGCCUGAUGGAGGGGGAUAACUACUGGAAACGGUAGCUAAUACCGCAUAACGUCGCAAGACCAAAGAGGGGGACCUUCGGGCCUCUUGCCAUCGGAUGUGCCCAGAUGGGAUUAGCUAGUAGGUGGGGUAACGGCUCACCUAGGCGACGAUCCCUAGCUGGUCUGAGAGGAUGACCAGCCACACUGGAACUGAGACACGGUCCAGACUCCUACGGGAGGCAGCAGUGGGGAAUAUUGCACAAUGGGCGCAAGCCUGAUGCAGCCAUGCCGCGUGUAUGAAGAAGGCCUUCGGGUUGUAAAGUACUUUCAGCGGGGAGGAAGGUGUUGAGGUUAAUAACCUCAGCAAUUGACGUUACCCGCAGAAGAAGCACCGGCUAACUCCGUGCCAGCAGCCGCGGUAAUACGGAGGGUGCAAGCGUUAAUCGGAAUUACUGGGCGUAAAGCGCACGCAGGCGGUCUGUCAAGUCGGAUGUGAAAUCCCCGGGCUCAACCUGGGAACUGCAUUCGAAACUGGCAGGCUAGAGUCUUGUAGAGGGGGGUAGAAUUCCAGGUGUAGCGGUGAAAUGCGUAGAGAUCUGGAGGAAUACCGGUGGCGAAGGCGGCCCCCUGGACAAAGACUGACGCUCAGGUGCGAAAGCGUGGGGAGCAAACAGGAUUAGAUACCCUGGUAGUCCACGCCGUAAACGAUGUCGACUUGGAGGUUGUGCCCUUGAGGCGUGGCUUCCGGAGCUAACGCGUUAAGUCGACCGCCUGGGGAGUACGGCCGCAAGGUUAAAACUCAAAUGAAUUGACGGGGGCCCGCACAAGCGGUGGAGCAUGUGGUUUAAUUCGAUGCAACGCGAAGAACCUUACCUACUCUUGACAUCCAGAGAACUUAGCAGAGAUGCUUUGGUGCCUUCGGGAACUCUGAGACAGGUGCUGCAUGGCUGUCGUCAGCUCGUGUUGUGAAAUGUUGGGUUAAGUCCCGCAACGAGCGCAACCCUUAUCCUUUGUUGCCAGCGGUCCGGCCGGGAACUCAAAGGAGACUGCCAGUGAUAAACUGGAGGAAGGUGGGGAUGACGUCCAGUCAUCAUGGCCCUUACGAGUAGGGCUACACACGUGCUACAAUGGCGCAUACAAAGAGAAGCGACCUCGCGAGAGCAAGCGGACCUCAUAAAGUGCGUCGUAGUCCGGAUUGGAGUCUGCAACUCGACUCCAUGAAGUCGGAAUCGCUAGUAAUCGUGGAUCAGAAUGCCACGGUGAAUACGUUCCCGGGCCUUGCACACACCGC
rnacentral:rRNA from 1 species